CUGCGUGAAGUUGGAAUCGCUAGUAAUCGCGGAUCAGCAUGCCGCGGUGAAUACGUUCCCGGGCCUUGUACACACCGCCCGUCACACCAUGAGAGUCGGGAACACCCGAAGUCCGUAGCCUAACCGCAAGGGGGGCGCGGCCGAAGGUGGGUUCGAUAAUUGGGGUGAAGUCGUAACAAGGUAAC
rnacentral:rRNA from 1 species